UCUCCCUCAUGCUAGCGCCAAAUGGUAUGUUUAUUUUUUCUAGUUCUUUCUAAAAUCAUGAUCUACCAAUUAACAAUAUUUAUUUAGAUAUCAAUUGCUGUUUCUUGUUUUUUUACAUAUGUUUGUUUUCCAUUCAUGUAUAUAGAGAAAUCACCUUGUGAAACCACCUUUAAAAAAUGUCUUUCACACUCCAAACCUUUUUGACAAUAAUAGGAAACAAGGGGCAGAUAUACAUCUAGGCUUGACAUGCUAGCUUCAUCUAUCUUUUAGUUAGCAAGAGUGUUGAACUUUGGGAGGAAUGAAGAAAAAUACAUGAAGGUAAAUAACAAAUGCAUGAAAACCUUUAAUAAGCUAUCCACCACUAUACACUCAUAAAAUCCAACUUCUAAACUGAGCACGAUCAUGGGCAUAGAUAAUAUAUAGAUUACAAAAAAUUGCUCAGCAGGCACCAGGUAAACUAAUUAAACAUAAUCUAUAAAGGAUCGUGCUGUGCAUUCUUAAUUCAUUUAUUGCAAAUGCGUCAGCAGUCUUGUUUUUUUUUUGCACAGAAAUUCUGUUGCUUAACGGUAGAUUAUUUUUUGUUAAUACUACACGCGCCCCAUGCUGAUCCUACAAGAUCUCAUAUUCUUAAUUUCUUAUUAUGAAGUACCAAAAGAGGCACAUGACACGAGACGACUAUUGAUUCCCCAUAUUAGCAGCUCUGUUAUAAUAAAAAAUGGAAAUAACUAAGGCCUUGAUUAGAUACACCCAAAAACCCAAAACUUUACAAGAUUCUCCGUCACAUUGAAUAUUACGGCACAUGCAUGAAGUAUUAAAUAUAGAUAAAAAUAAUAACUAAUUGCACAGUUUACCUGUAAAUCACGAGACGAAUCUUUUAAGCCUAAUU
rnacentral:lncRNA from 1 species